rnacentral:rRNA from 1 species
AACGAACGCUGGCGGCAUGCCUAACACAUGCAAGUCGAACGAGACCUUCGGGUCUAGUGGCGCACGGGUGCGUAAUGCGUGGGAAUCUGCCCUUCGGUUCGGAAUAACUCAGGGAAACUUGAGCUAAUACCGGAUAAUGACGUAAGUCCAAAGAUUUAUCGCCGAAGGAUGAGCCCGCGUAGGAUUAGCUUGUUGGUGGGGUAAUGGCCCACCAAGGCGACGAUCCUUAGCUGGUCUGAGAGGAUGAUCAGCCACACUGGGACUGAGACACGGCCCAGACUCCUACGGGAGGCAGCAGUGGGGAAUAUUGGACAAUGGGCGAAAGCCUGAUCCAGCAAUGCCGCGUGAGUGAUGAAGGCCUUAGGGUUGUAAAGCUCUUUUACCCGGGAUGAUAAUGACAGUACCGGGAGAAUAAGCUCCGGCUAACUCCGUG